GCAGUGUUGUACAGUGGAUAUGGAACUGGGCUUCUAACCCAAAGGUCACAGGUUCAAUACCCAGAUAUAGCA
rnacentral:tRNA from 1 species